GGUGGCGUCGCCGCGCCGGCAGGGUACCCGAUGGCAGCCUCGGCGACGGCUGCGGCGAACGCGGGCAACGGGCCGCUAACCCGUGGGGCCGGUUCGAUUCCGGCUGCCCCCGCCA
rnacentral:tRNA from 2 species